GCGGCUGUAGUUCAGUUGGUUAGAGCACAGGAUUGUGAUUCCUGGUGUCGGGGGUUCGAAUCCCCUCAGCCGCCCCA
rnacentral:tRNA from 1 species